AGUGAACGCUGGCGGCAGGCCUAACACAUGCAAGUCGAACGGCAGCACGGCAGUAGCAAUACUGUGGGUGGCGAGUGGCGGACGGGUGAGGAAUACAUCGGGAUCUACCCUGUUGUGGGGGAUAACGUAGGGAAACUUACGCUAAUACCGCAUAAGAACUGAGGUUGAAAGCGGCGGACCGCAAGGCGUCGCGCGAUUGGAUGAACCGAUGUCCGAUUAGCUAGUUGGCGGGGUAAAGGCCCACCAAGGCGACGAUCGGUAGCUGGUCUGAGAGGACGACCAGCCACACUGGAACUGAGACACUGCCCAGACACCUACGGGUGGCUGCAGUGGGGGAAUAUUGGACAAUGGACCAAAAGUCUGAUCCAGCAAUUCUGUGUGCACGAUGAAGGUCUUCGGAUUGUAAAGUGCUUUCAGUAGGGAAGAAAAAAAUGACGGUACCUACAGAAGAAGCGACGGCUAAAUAUGUGCCAGCAGCCGCGGUAAUCUGAGUCGGAGAC
rnacentral:rRNA from 1 species